AUGGGAAUGGAAGAACAGUUUGUUAUACAAGAAGCUGCUUCUGCUGGAUUGAAAAGCAUGGAGCAUUUCAUUCGAUUCAAACAGGUUAUCAAUUUGUCGAAUCUAACCACACAACUCCCAGGACCGCCCUUCUAUUCACAUACCCAUUGUCACCGUUUUUUUUUUAUUUUGAGAUUCUUAUCUGAUACCGUGAGCUUUAUCCAUCGCCUUUGCGCUUUAUCUGAUUCCUCCCCUGACACGCUUUUCUGUACAACACUCGCGGUAAGAGAACAAUGGAGAAUAUCAAGCAAGAGGUUUCUGAACUCCGUAGAGAGAUGA